UGGGGAAUAUUGCACAAUGGGCGAAAGCCUGAUGCAGCAACGCCGCGUGCGGGAUGACGGCCUUCGGGUUGUAAACCGCUUUCAGCAGGGACGAAGGUUUUCUGACGGUACCUGCAGAAGAAGCACCGGCUAACUACGUGCCAGCAGCCGCGGUGAUACGUAGGGUGCGAGCGUUGUCCGGAAUUAUUGGGCGUAAAGAGCUUGUAGGCGGUCCGUUGCGUCGGAAGUGAAAACUCAGGGCUUAACCCUGAGCCUGCUUUCGAUACGGGCGGGACUUGAGGGAUGUAGGGGAGAACGGAAUUCCUGGUGGAGUGGUGGAAUGCGCAGAUAUCAGGAGGAACACCAGUGGCGAAGGCGGUUCUCUGGACAUUUCCUGACGCUGAGAAGCGAAAGCGUGGGGAGCAAACAGGCUUAGAUACCCUGGUAGUCCACGCCGUAAACGGUGGGCACUAGGUGUGGGACCCAUUCCACGGGUUCCGUGCCGUAGCUAACGCAUUAAGUGCCCCGCCUGGGGAGUACGGCCGCAA
rnacentral:rRNA from 1 species